UGAGCGGCUUCUUCACUCACACACACACACACGACACGCGCGCGCGUACACACCGGCUCAAGCGGCUUGAAUCAAGGGGUACUGUUCCUUCAAGAUAUUGAUUAAUUCAUUCUGAAAUUGUAAAUAUUUAACAGAUCGCAGUGAGCAAGGUGACUGGAGGCUCAUUUCCAUUUUGGCCGCGCUGGAUACAGUACGCCGGUGACGGAGGAACACGGGAAACCCGGUCCCUACCCGCGAAGAAGCUCAAAGAGUGUGACACGUAUAAUCUAUAAUAAUAUACUUAUAUAUAUUUAAAAAAAGUGUUGAUUUCCGGAUAUGUGUGACACAUGAUGAUGACGACACGCAUCGAUCUUUGACGCUCCCAGCGAACAGCAGACGGGCUUUGUCCUCACCGCUGGGGGUGACCUGGUGGCUGUACGUU